CCUACGGGCGGCAGCAGUGAGGAAUAUUGGUCAAUGGCCGGAAGGCUGAACCAGCCAAGCCGCGUGAAGGACGAAGGUGCCAAGCAUUGUAAACUUCUUUUGUCAAGGUACAAAAUCAGGCUCGAGAGCCUGAACGAGGGUACUUGAAGAAAAAGCAUCGGCUAACUCCGUGCCAGCAGCCGCGGUAAUACGGAGGCUGCGAGCGUUCUCCGGAUGUAUUGGUGUUAAAGGGUGCGUAGGCGGGCUGUUAAGUCAGCGGUAAAAGCCCGGGGCUCAACCCCGGAGAGACGUUGAAACUGGCUGUCUUGAGAUGUCGAGAGGUAUGCGGAAUGCGCAGUGUAGCGGUGAAAUGCUUAGAUAUUGCGAAGAACUCCGAUUGCGAAGGCAGCAUACCGGCGGCGAUCUGACGCUGAGGCACGAAAGCGUGGGUAUCGAACAGGAUUAGAUACCCGGGUAGUC
rnacentral:rRNA from 1 species